rnacentral:tRNA from 1 species
GGUGGCUCAGUGGUAGAGCAUUUGCCUUGCAUGCAUAAGGCCCUGGGUUCGAUUCCUCAGCACCA